GGCUUUCUAUGGAAGCUUGCUUCCACUGAGAAGAUAGUGGCGGACGGGUGAGUAACACGUGGGGUAACCUGCCCAUAAGAGGGGGAUAACAUCCGGAAACGGGUGCUAAUACCGCAUAGUUUUCUUGAUCGCAUGAUCGGGAAAGGAAAGACGGCCUUUGUGCUGUCGCUUAUGGAUGGACCCGCGGCGUAUUAGUUAGUUGGUGAGGUAACGGCUCACCAAGACGAUGAUACGUAGCCGACCUGAGAGGGUGAUCGGCCACAUUGGGACUGAGACACGGCCCAAACUCCUACGGGAGGCAGCAGUAGGGAAUCUUCCGCAAUGGACGAAAGUCUGACGGAGCAACGCCGCGUGAGUGAAGAAAAGGUUUUCGGAUCGUAAAACUCUGUUGUCAGAGAAGAACAAGUCGGAGAGUAACUGCUCCGGCCUUGACGGUAUCUGACCAGAAAGCCACGGCUAACUACGUGCCAGCAGCCGC
rnacentral:rRNA from 1 species